rnacentral:rRNA from 1 species
GACGUAGGGGGCAAGCGUUGUUCGGAAUUAUUGGGCGUAAAGGGCUCGUAGGCGGUUUGUCGCGUCGGGAGUGAAAACUCAGGGCUUAACCCUGAGCCUGCUUCCGAUACGGGCAGACUAGAGGUAUGCAGGGGAGAACGGAAUUCCUGGUGUAGCGGUGAAAUGCGCAGAUAUCAGGAGGAACACCGGUGGCGAAGGCGGCCCCCUGGGCCGCGCCUGACGCUGAGACGCGAAAGCGCGGGGAGCGAACGGG